GACGAACGCUGGCGGCGUGCUUAACACAUGCAAGUCGAACGGAAAGGCCCUACGGGGUACUCGAGUGGCGAACGGGUGAGUAACACGGGGGUGAUCUGCCCUGCACUUUGGGAUAAGCCUGGGAAACUGGGGCUAAUACCGAAUAGGACCACGAGAUUCAUGGCGUGUGGAGGAAAGCGUUUGCGGUGUGGGAUGGGCCCGCGGCCGAUCAGCUCGUUGGUGGAGGAAUGGCCUACCAAGGCGACGACGGGUAGCCGACCGGAGAGGGUGACCGGCCACCCUGGGCCUGCGGUACGGCCCAGACUCCUACGGUGGGCAGCGGUGGGGAAUAUUGCACAAUGGGCGCAAGCCUGAUGCGGCGACGCCGCGUGAGGGAAGACGUCCUUCGGGUUGUAAACCUCUUUCGCCUGGGACGAAGCGUAAGUGACGGUACCUAGAGAAGAAGCACCGGCCAACUACGUG
rnacentral:rRNA from 1 species